CUCCUUUAUUUUGAAAGAAAAACCUAGGGCAGAGAGGCACUCCCCCAUGCGCCGCUCGAAGAACUAGCCGCUCAGAGACUUUCCGAUCUCUCGCCCAACUCCGAUCAUGACGGAGUGACCGACAGUUCGGCAAUCAGGUACCUCUUUACCCUCUAAUCUCUUCUUUUUAUUUCUUUUUGAACCACCAAUCACACGAAACACACAAAAAAAGAUUAAAAGACGAAAAAACAAAAUAAAAGUUUGAAUCACCUUUUGUAUUCUGAAAAUUUUUCUCUGAUUUUCUAUUUCAAAUUUUCGUAUCUGUGUGUAACCGAUUACAAAGGUUCCGCCUUUUGUUUUAUAGGUCGGAAAAGGUAAACAAAAAUGAAAAAAAUGAAAAAAUACAAUUUUUGUUGUCUGCUGCGUUGUUUGCGUCCCAUUUGCAGGUGUACGGGGGCAGAAGUCGACGUGGAGGUACGGAGGCGAAGGCACAUGCGUACGGAGGCCUGUCACAUGUGAAGGGGAGGUCCGAAAGCAUGUGCGGAGGAGAUGCACGCGCGCAGAGGCGCAGCACGUGCGGGGGAGCCUUGGGUUCUACUGCGGCACUGCUGGCUGCUAAAGGCUGGCCUAGGGUUUGGUUCUGUUUUCUUGUGUAAUGGGCUUAGGGUUAGGUGUAUUGGGUUGGGGUAUUUGGGCUGAAUUGGGUUUGUAGCGUCUGGGCUUAGGGUGUCUAAAACUUUAGGCUAGUUGGGCCUACUCGGAUUUGGCCCUGUUGUUGUAAAGAAAUGGACUGUGCUAUUUUUUGGACUUUU
rnacentral:lncRNA from 1 species